GGUCUCAGUCCCAGAGGUGUGUGGUCUCAGUCCCAGAGGUGUGUGGUCUCAGUCCCAGAGGUGUGUGGUCUCAGCCCCAGAGGUGUGUGGUCUCAGUCCCAGAGGUGUGUGGUCUCAGUCCCAGAGGUGUGUGGUCUCAGCCCCAGAGGUGUGUGGUCUCAGCCCCAGAGGUGUGUGGUCUCAGCCCCAGAGGUGUGUGGUCUCAGCCCCAGAGGUGUGUGGUCUCAGUCCCAGAGGUGUGUGGUCUCAGUCCCAGAGGUGUGUGGUCUCAGUCCCAGAGGUGUGUGGUCUCAGUCCCAGAGGUGUGUGUGGUCUCCUCCAGUGUGUGUUGAAAGCGUGUAAAUAGUAACUGCUGAAACGUGGA